GACGAACGCUGGCGGCGUGCCUAACACAUGCAAGUCGAACGAGGUCCAUGCAGUGGCAACACUGCGGAAGACCUAGUGGCGAACGGGUGAGUAACACGUGAGGAACCUGCCCCGAAGACCGGGAUAACCCUCCGAAAGGAGAGCUAAUACCGGAUACCCCCACCUGAUCGCAUGAUCGGGUGAGGAAAUGGAUUCCGCUUCGGGAGGGCCUCGCGGCCUAUCAGCUUGUUGGUGGGGUAACGGCCCACCAAGGCAUCGACGGGUAGCUGGUCUGAGAGGACGAUCAGCCACACUGGGACUGAGACACGGCCCAGACUCCUACGGGAGCAGCAGUGGGGAAUCUUGCGCAAUGGGCGAAAGCCUGACGCAGCAACGCCGCGUGGGGGAUGAAGGCUCUCGGGUUGUAAACCCCUUUCAGCAGGGACGAAUCAAGACGGUACCUGCAGAAGAAGCCCCGGCUAACUACGUGCCAGCAGCCGCGGUAAU
rnacentral:rRNA from 1 species